ACAAAACUAAUUCAUGUUUUUUUUUUGAAUCUUGACUUGCCUAUUUCACCUCCAAAGUUCAGAUUAUUCACGAAAAUACCGUCAUUUUUUUUUUUGAAAAUGCAUAUUUUACUCUAUCACCCUCAUCUUUCUCAAGUAUUCACAAUAUUGUCAUUGCCAUCAAUACACCAACCACCAUGAACAACCAAUUUGAAGCUCUUAAUGCACCUUAAACAAUCAUUUUUCUGAAAAUGCAUAUUUUACUCU
rnacentral:lncRNA from 1 species